ensembl:lncRNA
GGUAAACAAAACAAUAUCGCUUCAAAUAAAAAAACAUCAAGAGGUGUGGCCAGUCAUCCUGAACCGUCCCCACACAGCUGAUCCCCAUUCCACAAUUCACCCCUCCAGUUUUUAAACCCGGGCUGUCCGCUUCUCCAGCGCCAGAUCGUUACACACCCCUAGAUCCCGCUGUUCUCGCUCUGACCUGCCGUGCCACCCGUCUCGCAUCCCUCCGGCGUCCUCCCCCGUUUGUCCCCUUCCCUUGAAAUCUGCAUUUAUUAAAGUCACUCCUAUGGAUUAUCAGUCCUAUUAUUAUUAUCUGAAACACAAACUUAUAACAGCAAUAAAUGGACAGGCAAGAUUAGGACACUUUUCCUAAACUUAACUAGUGUGGUAUGUUGCCUAAUCAUAUUCGGCUUCCUGUGAAGGCAGAUGUUUUUUUCAGAAAGAGAUGAGCAUGUAACAAAU